AAAAUCAAAUAAAAAUGUAUUAUUCAAAAUGAAUAUUAUAUAAUUUAAUUUGAGGCAUUUUGUCGAACACAUUCUAAGCAGAGAGUUUCAGAGAACAGUAGAGAAUCCAAUUCCCUUUCAGAUGCUUCUCUACAAUUGAUGGUGCGAUCCAAGUAAGCAAGAUCGGCUUUAAUGGCAGAUUGGGCAGCUGCCCAUUUGCCCACGGGCAGUACUCUGUCAGUGGGUUGUCGGCGUUCAACAUCACCGGCUGAAAACGACGUGGUGUAGUGUUUCGUAUUGGGGGCGUGCGGUAUUUCUGAAAGAAGCCGGCUCAUUGGCGUGUAUUGGGGACCAGCUGGAAGAACGAAGAAGCUGAAAAGAAAAGCGUCUUAUCGGAAGGUAAGAGAAGUGGUAUGUUGUGGGCUCGUUGUGAAUGGUGAUUGAACCUAUCUCUCUCCCAAGUUGACUGUUUUGAAUUUCUUUUUGUAAAAGAGAUCUUUCAUUGUCUUCUUGUCCACUUGAUGAGUAGAUUUGGUCUUUUGUGGAGGCAUGGAUGAGAAUGUGUUUAUCCCUUAAAAGAGUCAACAAGGAAAAACACGUAGGAAUUUUCCAAGCAGGGGAUGUGUUGAAAUUUAUACAAAAGUGAAAGAAAUGCACUUUUAACGUGUCUUUUUUGUUUGGCCAUUUAGAUUUGUCUUCAUCAGUGAGUAUCCAUAUCAGUUUACGUAUAUCUCAACUAAUCUCAUAGAACAAUCUAUCUGUCCCUGUAAUACAACAUUUGGGUGUAAGAAAACCUAUAGUAAAUUAAUUUUUAGGUUACUAGCUA